rnacentral:tRNA from 3 species
AUAAUCGGAAAGCGACAGGGACUUAAGUGUCAAUUUGUUUGUUUCAAAGUUUUGUUUAGUUUUGAGUGUGAUACUUUAAUAGGUAUCAUGGUCUCAAAGUGAUCCUAUGGGGAAUUAGCUCAGCUGGGAGAGCACCUGCUUUGCAAGCAGGGGGUCAGCGGUUCGAUCCCGCUAUUCUCCAUAGCUAGUCGAAAGGCUAGCAUGUUGUACAUUGAAAACUGAAUAGUAACAAAUUCUUUUAAAAGCAAUCGUAAGAUUGCACUAAAAUGAACCGAGAAACAACACAAAAAGUUCUUUAAAAAGAACGGUUUAAUCGCAGGUCUGAAAAAUGACCAACUCAUAAACUUAAACCACAACUUCGGUUGUAUAGG